AGAGUUUGAUCCUGGCUCAGGAUGAACGCUAGCUACAGGCUUAACACAUGCAAGUCGAGGGGCAUCAGGAAGAAAGCUUGCUUUCUUUGCUGGCGACCGGCGCACGGGUGAGUAACACGUAUCCAACCUGCCCUUUACUCGGGGAUAGCCUUUCGAAAGAAAGAUUAAUACCCGAUAGGAUAAUGAUUCCGCAUGGUUUCAUUAUUAAAGGAUUCCGGUAAAGGAUGGGGAUGCGUUCCAUUAGGUUGUUGGUGAGGUAACGGCUCACCAAGCCUUCGAUGGAUAGGGGUUCUGAGAGGAAGGUCCCCCACAUUGGAACUGAGACACGGUCCAAACUCCUACGGGAGGCAGCAGUGAGGAAUAUUGGUCAAUGGGCGCUAGCCUGAACCAGCCAAGUAGCGUGAAGGAUGAAGGCUCUAUGGGUCGUAAACUUCUUUUAUAUAAGAAUAAAGUGCAGUAUGUAUACUGUUUUGUAUGUAUUAUAUGAAUAAGGAUCGGCUAACUCCGUGCCAGCAGCCGCGGUAAUACGGAGGAUCCGAGCGUUAUCCGGAUUUAUUGGGUUUAAAGGGAGCGUAGGUGGACUGGUAAGUCAGUUGUGAAAGUUUGCGGCUCAACCGUAAAAUUGCAGUUGAUACUGUCAGUCUUGAGUACAGUAGAGGUGGGCGGAAUUCGUGGUGUAGCGGUGAAAUGCUUAGAUAUCACGAAGAACUCCGAUUGCGAAGGCAGCUCACUGGACUGCAACUGACACUGAUGCUCGAAAGUGUGGGUAUCAAACAGGAUUAGAUACCCUGGUAGUCCACACAGUAAACGAUGAAUACUCGCUGUUUGCGAUAUACAGUAAGCGGCCAAGCGAAAGCAUUAAGUAUUCCACCUGGGGAGUACGCCGGCAACGGUGAAACUCAAAGGAAUUGACGGGGGCCCGCACAAGCGGAGGAACAUGUGGUUUAAUUCGAUGAUACGCGAGGAACCUUACCCGGGCUUAAAUUGCAGUGGAAUGAUGUGGAAACAUGUCAGUGAGCAAUCACCGCUGUGAAGGUGCUGCAUGGUUGUCGUCAGCUCGUGCCGUGAGGUGUCGGCUUAAGUGCCAUAACGAGCGCAACCCUUAUCUUUAGUUACUAACAGGUUAUGCUGAGGACUCUAGAGAGACUGCCGUCGUAAGAUGUGAGGAAGGUGGGGAUGACGUCAAAUCAGCACGGCCCUUACGUCCGGGGCUACACACGUGUUACAAUGGGGGGUACAGAAGGCAGCUAGCGGGUGACCGUAUGCUAAUCCCAAAAGCCUCUCUCAGUUCGGAUCGAAGUCUGC
rnacentral:rRNA from 1 species